rnacentral:piRNA from 1 species
ACUCAGGGAANCCAAGGGCCUCUGUGGU